AUAUAGCUCAGUGGUAGAGCACAUGUCUAGUAUGCAUGAGCCCCUGAGUUCAAUCUCUAUAU
rnacentral:tRNA from 1 species